rnacentral:lncRNA from 1 species
GUUUUGGUCAAUAUUCGAUUAAGUCACUAAUGGAAAAACCUGUCUUCAAUAUCUGACUUUUCAUCAUUGAAGAGAUCUCAAGUCAAUCAAACAUCAUUAGAACUUGCCUGUAACUCAAACACCUGUCCACGCCUUUCAACUCCAGAGAAGAUAUAUCUAAACUUUCUGAACACACACAGUGCUCCUCCUUUCAGAUGCCCUGCUUCUCUCAAAAUGGAUACUGACCAGCAUCUUCAGAUAAUUCCUCCACACAGGUCUCUCCCAUAAAUUCUCAUUGCAGUUUAGUGGGAAGCAACAUAUGGCAGAACACACUUUAUAAUUUCGCAGCAUGCCCUUCCUGCAAGGUUUUAUAUAACACUUCAGACUUUGGUAAGUGUUAUUUUUUAAGCUAUUUUAUAAAUUAUUUCUACAUAUUUAAGGGGUGAAAUUGGAAUUUUGUUACCUGGAUAUAUUGCGUAGUGUUGAAAUAUGGACUUGUAGUGUAACCAUCACCUAAAUAAUGAGGUAAGUAUUCAUAACAAAUGUUUUAUUCUCUUCUUUUGAGUCCUUAGCUGAAACUGAGACAGAGAGAAACUAAUUUUACUAUUAUAAUAUUUUGUUACAUUUGUCAAAAGUUUCAAUCUGAUCUUGUCUUCUGUAUAUCUAGUGGGAUCUUUCAUAUGAGUUUUUGGUUAACUAAGAGGUACUCGUCUUGUUUUUCUGCACAGAUGUGGUUUAUAAAGUAUCUCAUUAGAUCAAUCAUUUCCAGGGAUCUAGAGAAGUAGAAAGCUGGAAGCAUGGACUCAGUCCAUAAUCUUAAAAUGGAAGUUCUUCAGUGGCUUUAUUGCUCAUAAGCUAUGGUAAUUUUCCUACAAGAUACCUAAUAUUUUAUUUUGACAAACCAUAUCUUAAAACACUUAAGUAUAUAAAUGAAUUCCUUCCAUUAAACACAUGGUACUAUUUAAGAUUUCCUACUAUGUGCCAGGUACUCUUUUAGUGUUCUGAUGCUUAAAAAAUGACAAAGUAUCACAGGUAGACAGACACCUAUAUAGAUAGAUAGAACACUGACACACAAAUAUACAUCCUAAAUUAUUGCAAUAAAGGAGAAUUGACAAAGUACUAUGCAAUCAUAACACACGGAAUACCAAAUGGUACAUACAUGUGUUUGCAAGUGAGCAGUAGAAGGGAAAUCUUAAACACAGGAACUUCCCUAGACAUUAGUUGUCACCUCUUGACCCUUGAUCUUGCAUCAAGUGUUCAUUGAGAGCAUUUUACUUCUAGUUGAAUGAGAAUUCCAGAAGCACCGCCAAGUUUAUAAAGAAGUCAUAACUUGGAGUUGUCAGAGUUAGGG